CUCGAGAGCAUGUGGGCUAAAACCUGGGAGAUGCUGGGUACUUGCAUCUCUUACUGAAUAGUCUUUUAUCAGCCUAUUUAGGUUAUCCCAGUUUAACCCUAUAGUUCCUUCCAGCAAUUCAAUGACUCAGAUUAACUAGACACUUGGCCAGUGUCGAGCUCCAGGCUGAAGGUUGGAGAGAGGCUAGUCCCCAGACAAAUGAUGCAUGGAAUUUGUAUCUGUGUGUUGCCAUGCCGACGCCGUGCACAGAUUGCUCAAGAUUCAGCAGGACUUGGCAGGGACCUUUUUGCUUCCCAGAGACUCAAUGACAGAUUUUGUAUACUUUCCCCUGACUAGAUGACGUGUGAGAAAAUGGAGAACUAACUUUCUCAUUGACAACAAAAACAAUCUAGAAGAGUAAAAUUUCCCAUGAAAAGAAAUUCAGUUUUCCAACCAGACCUACUCAGCAAAGAGAUCGGGACAAAGAUAAUGAGCCUGAAGCCUUUGUUCUCUGCUGUUUACAUAACCCAGGAGGAAUGGACAGAGAAGAUUUUGCAUCAUCUUUGAACUCCCCACCUCUUUUAACCUUAGUUUAGCUAAAGUUUGCACUUGCGGGUUGCUCUAAUACCUGCUGGCUGGUAAGAGAGAGGAAAACCAACUGUUUUUAAGUGAA
rnacentral:lncRNA from 1 species